UACGGAGGGUGCGAGCGUUAAUCGGAAUUACUGGGCGUAAAGCGCGCGUAGGUGGUUUUGUCAGUCAGAUGUGAAAGCCCAGGGCUCAACCUUGGAACUGCACCUGAUACUGCAAGACUAGAGUACAAUAGAGGGGAGUGGAAUUUCCGGUGUAGCGGUGAAAUGCAUAGAUAUUACAUAGAAUACCAAUUGCGAAGGCAGCCACCUGGGUCAAUACUGACGCUCAUGUACGAAAGCGUGGGGAGCAAACGGG
rnacentral:rRNA from 1 species